GAUGAACGCUGGCGGCGUGCCUAAUACAUGCAAGUAGAACGCUGAAGGAGGAGCUUGCUCUUCUGGAUGAGUUGCGAACGGGUGAGUAACGCGUAGGUAACCUGCCUGGUAGCGGGGGACAACUAUUGGAAACGAUAGCUAAUACCGCAUGACAACAGUUAUUGCAUGAUAACUGUUUAAAAGGGGCAACUGCUCCACUACCAGAUGGACCUGCGUUGUAUUAGCUAGUUGGUGAGGUAACGGCUCACCAAGGCGACGAUACAUAGCCGACCUGAGAGGGUGAUCGGCCACACUGGGACUGAGACACGGCCCAGACUCCUACGGGAGGCAGCAGUAGGGAAUCUUCGGCAAUAGACGGAAGUCUGACCGAGCAACGCCGCGUGAGUGAAGAAGGUUUUCGGAUCGUAAAGCUCUGUUGUAAGAGAAGAACGAGUGUGAGAGUGGAAAGUUCACACUGUGACGGUAUCUUACCAGAAAGGGACGGCUAACUACGUG
rnacentral:rRNA from 1 species